rnacentral:rRNA from 1 species
GACGAACGCUGGCGGCGUGCUUAAUACAUGCAAGUCGAGCGGAAAGGCCCUGAGUUUGCUGUGUGCUCGAGUGGGGAACGCGUGAGUAACACGUGUGUAACCUGCCCUUGAAAUAGUGAUAACUUCAGGAAACUGGGGCUAAUACCGGAUAGGAGCUUCUGAUGCGUGGGGGUGGUUGGAAAAAUUCGGCGGUUGUGGCUGGACUCGCUGCUUAUCCGCUUGUUUGUGUGGUAGGGGCUGACCAAGGCUUUGACGGAUAGCCGGCAUGAGAGGGGGAACGGCCACAUUGGGACUGCGAGACGGCGCAGAAGGCUAUGUGAGGCAGCAGUGGGGAAUAUUGCAGAAUGGGCGGAAGUCUGAUGUAGAGACGUUGCGUGCGUAAUAAUGUGUUUUGAGUUAUAAACAUAUUUGGAAUGUGCCGAGGAGUGAGUGACGGUAAUGGGUAAAGAAGCAACGGCUAACUACGUG